AAUCCAUGUUGUGGGCACCUCCGCGAAACAUCCUUGAAGCGCUCCUAUGUCUCAAACAAUGACUCAAGAUCCAUCUGUACAAACGAUGAUAGCUCAUUGUGAAGGUU